rnacentral:misc_RNA from 1 species
CACCACUCCAGCCUCGCUGGGUAUUGGGCGUCGCGGCCUCCGCGCGCCUCAAAGUCUCCGGCCGAGCCGACCGUCUCCAAGCGUUGUGGCAUCACGUUUUCGCUUCUGGGACCGGUCCGGCGACGCGCCGUAAAACCCUUCUCCAAA